rnacentral:lncRNA from 1 species
ACUAACCUAGUAUACAGUCGUUUUAUCUAAUUACUAAACCAACUACUUAAAUUGAGAGAAUUUAUGAAGGAGAUAUUGCCUCUGUCUUCUCCAAAUCUCAACUUUGGUGAUCCGUGAAGGCUUUCCGAAGGGUCUUCUGGUCUCGCCGUCGUCGACUCACUUUGCUCUGCGACCGUGUUCACCUAGCCACCAUGGCUCUUCCUCCAUGGCCUCCAGUCUCCAUCUAUGCCGCUUUGCUGCAUGACACGUCUGUAGUCCACGACCCCUCCAUUUCCUUUGCUCCGUUGUGACCUUCAUCGUCAAGCUCCAGAUCCGGUGAAGAGAAAGCUCAAUCCAUUCCAAUGGCUGGCUUCUCCAUAUUUGCACUUAGGUCUCUCACAUUUCUGAUUAUUUUCAAAUCAGCCCAAGGCUUUGUAAAUUGAGAAACAUCCUUCUGAAUCAAUCCCGAAUCUUUCAAUUGUGUAAUCUAGAC